rnacentral:rRNA from 1 species
CCUACGGGAGGCAGCAGUGGGGAAUAUUGGACAAUGGGGGCAACCCUGAUCCAGCCAUGCCGCGUGUGUGAAGAAGGCCCUCGGGUUGUAAAGCACUUUCAGUGAGGAAGAACGCCUGGUGGUUAAUACCCAUCAGGAAAGACAUCACUCACAGAAGAAGCACCGGCUAACUCCGUGCCAGCAGCCGCGGUAAUACGGAGGGUGCGAGCGUUAAUCGGAAUUACUGGGCGUAAAGCGCGCGUAGGUGGCUUGAUAAGCCGGUUGUGAAAGCCCCGGGCUCAACCUGGGAACGGCAUCCGGAACUGUCAAGCUAGAGUGCAGGAGAGGAAGGUAGAAUUCCCGGUGUAGCGGUGAAAUGCGUAGAGAUCGGGAGGAAUACCAGUGGCGAAGGCGGCCUUCUGGACUGACACUGACACUGAGGUGCGAAAGCGUGGGUAGCGAACAGGAUUAGAUACCCCGGUAGUC